GUGAACCUGCGGAAGGAUCAUUAACGAAUAUAAAUCGGAAAGCUGUCGCUGGCCUCUCGGGGCAUGUGCACGCUGACCGUGUUUCAAAAWUUUCUCACCUGUGAACCUAAUGUAGGAUGCCUCUCCUCUGGGAGAGGGGACCUAUGUCUUCAUAUMCAUCUUCGUGUAGAAAGUCUUAGAAUGUUUACUAUCAGAGAGUCGCGACUUCUAGGAGACGCGAAACUCUGAGAUAAAAGUUAUUACAACUUUCAGCAAUGGAUCUCUUGGCUCUCGCAUCGAUGAAGAACGCAGCGAAAAGCGAUAUGUAAUGUGAAUUGCAGAUCUACAGUGAAUCAUCGAAUCUUUGAACGCACCUUGCGCUCCUCGGUGUUCCGAGGAGCAUGCCUGUUUGAGUGUCAGUAAAUUCUCAACCCUUCUUGAUUGAGGGAGUUUGGAUAGUGGGGGUUGCUGGAGACUUUUAUUAGACUCGAGCUCUCCUGAAAUGCAUCGGCUUGCGGUCGACUUUCGACUUUGCGCGACAAGGCUUUCGGCGUGAUAAUGAUCGCCGUUCGCUGAAGCGCAUGACUGAAGGUUUCGCGCCUCUAAUACGUCGACUCUUAUUAUCUCUUCGGAGAGAAAAGGUCUUCUUUAUUGACUUUUGACCUCAAAU
rnacentral:rRNA from 1 species